rnacentral:rRNA from 1 species
UACGUAGGGACCAAGCGUUGUCCGGAAUCAUUGGGCGUAAAGAGCGUGUAGGCGGCUUGUUAAGUCUUGCGUGAAAUCUCGGGGCUCAACCCCGAGCGGUCGUGAGAAACUGGCAGGCUAGAGUGCGGGAGAGGAGAGUGGAAUUCCUGGUGUAGCGGUGAAAUGCGCAGAUAUCAGGAGGAACACCGAUGGCGAAGGCAGCACUCUGGCCGAAGACUGACGCUGAAGCGCGAAAGCUGGGGGAGCGAACGGG